GUUGAUUUGAGCCGUCCACACUCUCCCUUAGUCCCUCGGUCCAGCGUCUCUGGCUCACCUCUCACCUCUCGUCCCUCUCCCACCAACCCGCCCACCCUCUCUAAAACUUUCCCCUCUCUCGCUCGUCUCGCCCUCUCCCCUGCACCACUCAUCGUCGCCACCUAUGGCGCCCGAUGUCGCCCAAUUCUGGCACCAUCCGAUGGUGCCCAGCCCACCCACGGCUUCCUCUCGCUAUGCUCUUUAUUAUCCACCGCAUCGAUUUGAUUUACCCCGUAUCAUGUGGUCGCCGACAUCACUUCCACUUUCUAGGGUUUUGGUGGUGGGGUGGACCUCAUCGUCUAUCUCCUGCUCGACCUCGUGGCGGUGGUGAUAGCACGUGUGAGAUGCUCCUCCCCGACAAGGUCGUAGCUGGAUCCCCUUCUUUCCACCGCAGGAUCCGCUCCUCUCCCACGAGGCCGCUGCCGGAUCCCCUCCUCUCCGACAGCAACGCCUACAAAUCCGCUCGUCCUCGACAACAGCAACCAACUUCGAAGUGGCCGAUCCUCUCCCCAUCGCCGCCGCCCAUGAGGAUCCAGGUCGCCCACGCCGCUUCCCAUCUCUCGCCGCUCUAGAUCUAUGUCGUGUUGGCAGAACGAACUCCCCAAAGCGCUCUUCAUGGUGCUCAUGCUCAUCAUGCCUGCCAUCCUGCAGGACGACGACUACCACGACUUCGCUGACUUGCGGUCCCUCCUCCUCGGUAACCAACCAACCCCAACCCCACCCCCGCUCCCUGUACAACAAUCGCCUCCCAUGAAUCUUUUCUCCCGGGCCAUGCUUUGCCUCUGCCUCUACCCAGGGCGGGAGGAUUUGGGGGUGCUACUGCAGAUUCUGCUAUUUUUAGUCUCUUACUACAUUCGUGAUUUGGCGAGUCGAGCAGACGCAAUUAGAGCUUGACGUGGGAGAUUGGGGAGCAGGUGAAGCAUUGGUUUGGCCGAGUUAUGUUCUGUUGGCGUGCUUUUUGGUUACUGCUACACCAAGCAAAUGUUUCCGAUUGGUCAGCGAUGGGAGACUCUUCCAUUGAGGAGAUCGAGGAUCUGGCUGGAUUUGUGCGUCUUCGAUCUGAUGCGUUUGUGCACGCAUGUGUUGAAUAGUGUCCUCGGAUCUGGUGUAGGGCGCCAAGGAGAAGAAGCUCAAGGUCAAGGGCUCUGUCAGGAUGGCCACCAAGGUGCUCAACAUCACCACCAGGAAGUCCCCAUAUGGAGAAGGUAGCCACCUCCCUCUGUUUUCCCUUCCACUCGAUCCCAUUUGCUUGGUAGCUCUGCAUAGAAUCUAGUCCAUCUAGUCCUUGACAUGCUCACAGUAGCUCGUCGGUGAUGUGGGUCGCUAUGUUUUUUUGGAUACCUGACUGUUUAGGGAAUUUCUGUGACGAUGAUGAUGUCGUACUGAGCAAAGGAUGUGAAACAUUUAGACGGCUGCGGCCUUUUCGAUCUUUGAUGAUCUAAAAUCGAGCUAUUUAAAACUGAUGCCUAGCAUGCCAUCAAUGUGUUUUUAUUCCUCAUCUAGAGAUGCAACUCUGUGUGUUGGUGUGAUAUAAUGUAGAGGAGUUGGAUGUGAAUCAUUUGUGAGCUGAGCAUAUGAUGUUACAGGGAGAUGCUACUGAGAUUUUACGUCGUUGAAGUAUCUUAAACCGAGCUUCUUAAAACUGAUCUUGGUUGAUCUAGUUCUAGUAUAUUAGUUGGGUGAGAGUCUAUUGUUGUUGGUGUUGUGUAGUCAUUUCUUUUUACGUCGUUGAAGAAUAAAAAAGAUGAGCAUUUCUCCAGCCAAUGUCUGAAGUAGUUGUUGUCGUAUAGUCAGAUGGACUUAUGCAUUUCAUUAGAAGUCUGAUAUAGAUUGGACUAUACUUCUGAAUAGAAUGAAACAUUUCACUUUCGUUUAUAUUUCUUCAAUUCUUUUGAUCGAACAACUCUCUUGAACACAUGUACGUUAGUGCAGUGAUGGCUAAACAACUACAGUAGAUCGACAUUUUUGUAUUUCUCAACCUUGGGUAUUUUGCCAAAAAUAAACCCUUAGAUUUGUUGUCAUUCCUUUGAUAAUAAUUUGUUGUGUCUGUUAAGUAUUUUUUAGGAGUAAUAAACCUGGCUCUUUCAUGUUGCAACCCAACAGCUGCACCCAUGUUUUUCUGCGUACUACACAUAUUUGCUCCACUGCUCUUAGUUUUAACUAGCCAAGGCAAGGAUGACGCCCACCAUCGCUGUUAGAUUUAUUAUCCAUGUUGGACUUUUUUCGUUUAUGCUUGCCCACAAUCUAAAUGUCUGCUCAUGGCAUUAUUUAUCAAACAAGGGAUUGCCACCUGUCCCCAACUUGAUUGAGUUAGGCUUCGGUUUGCACGUCUCUUUCAGCUUGCAGGAUUAGUGUUACUGCAAGUAAUCCACUUUUUUUGUAAUGGAUGGUGGUGACAUUAUUUAAGCCAUUGUAGAGUUUUUGAUAGGGUUAAACAUUUGGAAAGAUAGAUCCAUUUAACCUUGCAGUACCAGUGUCUGCAAGCAUUGGCUAUUGUUAGUAAAAUGUUGAGCUCUUCCUUUAUAUCAUUGUCUUAUUGCUAUCCUUUUUUCAAGGCUGAUGCAGUACCUCGUUUUUCACUCGGACUUGCCUCUUGUUUGUUUCCUUUAUAUCGUUGUCUUAUUGAUAUCCUUUUUUCAAGGCUGAUGUAGUACCUUGUUCUUUUCACUCAGACUUGCCUCUUGUUUGUUAGUUUUGCUGUGAUAUAAUCUUCUAUUAUAAUUGGGUAAUAUUAACUCCCCUGUAGUAGAAUGGAUGGUCGUGGUAGUAGAAUAGUACUCCCUCUGUAAACUAAUAUAAACUAAUAUAAGAGCAUGCUAUUAUAUUAGUUUACAGAGGGAGUACUUUUCUUCGGGUGAAUGUGUUACAGUGUUGUUCAUUGCAUGACUGAUACGUCUCCAAUGUAUCUAUAAUUUUUUAUUGUUCCAUGCUAUUAUAUUACCCGUUUUGGAUGUUUAUGGGCUUUAUUAUAUACUUUUAUAUUAUUUUUGGGACUAACCUAUUAAUCAGAGGCCCAGCCCAAAAUGUUGUUUUAUUGCCUA